UAGUGCUUGUGUCUGUGUGAACAUUUGGAUAGAGGUGCUUAGUGAAGAUGAGCUACUCUCUGUGUAAGAAGUCUCCUGAUGCAGAAGACCCUCUGGAAACUGUAAAGAAGAUCGCAGAGAAAAUGAGGAAACUGGCAUCCACCAACUGGAUCUCUGACUCGGACAUUUUUCAGGAUCCUGAUUUAGACUUUUCUGGCCCCAGUUUUGGAACCCUCAUUGCCAUUGGAGUUACUGUUUUUGCAGUGAUUGUCGUUACUAUUAUUCUGUGCCUCACCUGUUCCUGUUGCUGUCUGUACAAAGCAUGUCGAAGACCACGCCCUGUGGUGACCACUGCCACCACGACGGUGGUUCACUCUGCCUAUCCCCAGCAGCCAGCAAUGCCACCCAGCUACCCAGCAGCUCCCUAUCAAGGCUACCAGCCCGUGGCUGUGCAGCCCCAGCCGGGGAUGCCGGUGGCUCCCUACCCUGCCCAGUACCCUCCCCCGUACCCCACGCAGCCGGCAGGACCCCCAGCUUACCAUGAAACUGUGGCAGCUGGUGCUGGAGCCCCUUACCCCACCCAGCCCCCUUACAACCCUGCUUACAUGGAUCCUCAGAAGCCCACCUAUUGAAAAGCUUCUACUGUGCUUCUGCAUACAAAACUUUUAAAAAUAUAAUUUGUUCUGUUUACACCAUUCACCUGUACUAUAUUUUUCUGGAAGACAACAAUCUUUUGUUAAAGUAGAGUGAAAAUCAAUUAAUUAUCUUCUUUUUUUUUAAUGCUCCAAGGAAGGAGUAUUUUUCUUGCAGAAGUUAAUUUAUACCUCAAGCAAAUACAAAAAGAGAUUUUGCUCUAGAUACAAUGAGAGUAACGAGAAGAAAGAGUAUUUCUGAAAUACAGAACCACAAUACCAUUUGCUGUGCAAUAAUUUUGAGAGGAGUGGUCUAAUAUUGAGCUUUGUCAAAUACCAAAAGCUGUAGCAAUCUUUUGCACAGUAUUAAAAUGUAAAAUUUUAACCUCUGAGAAACUACCUGAUACGUGUUAUGUAAGUUCUGCCUGUUUUGAAGCUACUAUUGUUAGCUCGUGUUACUGAACGUCCUUCAGGUCACCUUGUAUCAUUAAUAUCACUUCUGGUGGUGAAGACUGGAGCCAAACCAAAAUUACAAAUCACAGCAUAAAGCAAGGACAGUGUAUGCUGCUGAGUGAUCCUCUGAUGGGCUGCUGCCAAGCAAGUCCAAAAGGAUUGAUUCUAAGGAAGUCUGUAAAUUCAUUAAAAAUACCUUCUCCCUUCUCAGCCUGUUUAAACUUGGGUGGUAAGUAUUGUGCCUCAUUCAUCAAAUCGACCAAUUCAGCAUGAGGUAAGUGAUGCUUUCUACUCUGAAAAUGUUUUUGCUAAAGUGUUUGUGUAUUUUAUAGUUUUGAUAAAAAUGUUUUAGAAGGGUUGUAGUCACACCCCUGACUCAUUAGUCUUUCACUUGAAAAUAUUUUUUUGAGAAGGUCAGGAGUAUUCUUUAUAUGACACCACACAGCAGUGAAUUGUUUAGUGUAUAAGCAUUAUUACCUUGAAUUGCCAGCUACAUCCUAAUGUAGCAUUUAAAAGAAAAACAAAGGGAGACACAGAAAUUUUUUAAAAACCCACUAACACCCAAUCAAAACCCCAUAAUAAUUGGGUAGUUUUGUAGUAUUACUCUUUGAUUUUGUUGGAGUCUCAGCUGCAGGCUGAUAAUGUGUUGGAGGUGCAAUAUAAAUAAUUUCACUUCCAGUUUUAUUUCACAAUUUCUCUUAGUUGACUGGGGGCAGCAGACAAAAUGCAUGCUCCUAAAAGCCUAAAUCUAGAAAACAUAUAAUUAAUGUUUAUGCUAGAAAUGACACCAGGAAAUUUCAGUUAUUUGUGAAGAUUUUGUUGACAUUGCUUUUUAGUUCAUCUAUUUCUCUUUUCCCAUGAAUUUUAGCAGGUGCACCUGUUAAGGUUUGAGAAGUGACAGGCAGAGAAAAGCUCAGAGGAAAGCUGUGUGCCUUCCCCUCUCUGUGCACACAGGGCUGAGGAGCAGAACCUGGGUUUUGAUGAAAACCUGCAGAUUCCCUUAAGGAGCACAUAGGGUUUCAAAGAUACCUUCACCCUUUAUUUUUGCAGCUAAGGGUUGUAUAGGAGGGCAAAUGGCUGAACUGACAAGGUGGGAGCCCAGGGUUAGGUGAGGAAUAUUGCUGGUUAUGUUUUCAUAAUGUUUAAUCAGCAGUUGUGUAUGGUAGUGUGAAUUUUUCCAGAACUAAACUUGGCAUGCAUUUAAAACUCAUGGCAGGGUUGUGUGGGAAGGGCUGGACACACAGGAGGGAAAAACUUCAAUUACUGCCAAACAACCAAUUCUUGCCUGUUUUAUUUUUUAUAAGUAUGGAAACUCAGUAUCAUAGUACUUGUAAUAACUCACCAGAUUGGCUUUAGCCAGUGGUUUGGGGCCUGUUUUUUUUCUCUCUGAUUAUUAUUUGACCUUAUCUAGUUGUUUUUGCAGCCUGUACCACAGGAACCUGGUCAGAUUUACAGCUUUUCAGUGAGUCAUGUAGGAGGGGGGAAACAUGCACAAGUUAAACUUGAAAGUCUUUACCUGAAUGAGAGCAGAGCUGAGCAACCAGCAGAUGGUGCUGGGCAAGAGCACACAGGAGUCUCACAGUCAGGAGCACGGCAGGCACGGGCGUCUCGGGCCGCAGACAGCGCUGCAGCGCCUGGCUCCUCAUUCUGAAGUCGUGUUCUUAAUUCAUUCAUUUCUGCAUCCUUGAACUGCAGCUCGGAGUGCAGCGACUGUAACUGAAAGAGGAGUUCAGGGCAGUUUUACUGUUACCAGUUCAGAAGAGCUGCAACUGCAGAGCAACUGAGUUACCAGAGAGCUGGAGAUCACCAUCUGCUUACUGUAAACUCCAAGAUCUCAAUUUUUAGGAAUGUUAGCCCAGUAAGCACUCAGAGCCAAGUGCCAGGAGUUGAGGCAAGAAGCCUUUGUGAGUGGCUAAGACAGAGCAAGUGCCACGCAGAGCAUGGCUCCAGUGAGGCUGCAGAGCCAGCUGGGCAAAAGCAGCCACUCUCCAGGGAUGCACAGAGAUGACUGCAACAAGAACAGCCAUCUGAUCAGAGCCACCAAGCAUCUUCUGUCACUUCUUCCCACUCUAACAUACAUUCCACUUGCAAGGUUCUCGGGAUGGCUUCAAAAAAGCAAUAAGUAAAUGAAAACCUCUACCACCUGAAUUUCACUCCUUUAUUUUGGCAGGGGAAAACCCUCAACAAGUUCUUUCAAAUGUUUUCUUCUAAGUAAGAAAAUAAAAUCAAGCAUUGUGGAAAUUUCACACAAAUUAUGUUCUUCCUUUGACAAAAUAGUCUGUGACAUUAAGUCAUAAACCAGCAUCUGAAUGGGAUCUGCAGUACUACAUCCAUCAGCUCAGCCAACAGGCACUCUAAGACAAGGUACCACCCCCAGAAUCUUCACGACAUUGAGUCUCUCAUACUUCCUGAGCAGCCACUACCACUCAGAGACAAGACUUUGGGGAGACAAUGAAGAAGUUACUCAGAAAAACAAGAAGAAAAGAUCAGGAAGACACUUCUCUACAACUGUGAAAUUAGGAUUUAAUAUGGGAUACAGUGGGAGAUUCCCUGAUAAAGGUGGAUAUAACAGAGCUGGGAAAGAUACAGAGAAUGGAGAAAGGGAAACAGAGUAUCUUUCCAUAAAUGACCACCCCAAGGUAAAGUAACAUAAAGUCACUUGAAAGUCAUGUCACUUUCUCAAACCUUUUCAGUUAAGCAAAACGACUCUGGCUGACAGGGCAGAGAAAUUAUUUGAUAGGGAACAAAUAAAACUGAAAAAUUAGCAUUUGCUAAUCUGAAAUGAUCAAGAAAUAAAAUACUGCUCUCACUCUUUACUAUUA